ACUCAAUUGCCAUGCACCUUUCUUUUCAUUGGCAGAAGUCAUCAUUUCGGAAGAUUGAGCACACAAGCUCCAUUUUGGCUACAAGUAUCUCUCGGCUCUCUUUGGCUGCCACAGGAGACAAGCCACAACAAGAAAAGAAAACUCCCUGGGUUCUCCCUCUCGGCUCCCUCUCUUUUUUCCAGCAAACUCAACACACAAUUCAGAAACAAGGAGGCAGCCGCCGGUUGGACAAAGAGCCUGGAGCUUCCUCGAAAUUUUAGUCAAAGGACCACAACCUCAUUGAGUUUUUUUGGGACAAGCCUGGAUGAAAUUAAGAAAAAAGAAACGAUGCUGUGAAUGCAUGCCAAAUGCUUGAUAAAAUGCCGAAAUGGAAAAACGGAUUAAAAAGCUGAAUAUUCUGCAUGUUGUUGUCAAAACGGAUGACCGUUAGCUAGCACCGGGCUUGGAAAUGUGUGCUUAUCUAAUUUUUUUGGAGUUUUGAGCUUUAAAGACAUUAGAAUAAUUUUCUUCAUUUUUGGGGCUGUUUUGAUUUAAUGCAUCCUUUUGUUGUUGUUUACUUGUCAAACUAAGAUUAUAGUUGUAUUGUGGAAGUUAUAAGGAGGGUUUUGGUAUAAUUUUUAUGA